CCUCCUUGUUCACCUGAUCUGAACCCCAUUGAGAACCUGUGGUCCAUCAUCAAAUGUGAGAUUUACAAGGAGGGAAAACAGUACACCUCUCUGAACAGUGUCUGGGAGGCUGUGGUUGCUGCUGCACGCAAUGUUGAUGGUGAACAGAUCAAAACACUGACAGAAUCCAUGGAUGGCAGGCUUUUGAGUGUCCUUGCAAAGAAAGGUGGCUAUAUUGGUCACUGAUUUGUUUUUGUUUUGUUUUUGAAUGUCAGAAAUGUAUAUUUGUGAAUGUUGAGAUGUUAUAUUGGUUUCACUGGUAAUAAUAAAUAAUUGAAAUGGGUAUAUAUUUGUUUUUUGUUAAGUUGCCUAAUAA